AAGAUUCACAAAAUCUAUUUUUCAACAUGUUUGACAUCAUGAUAGACGUGUGGUAUUUUGAUCAUAUCUAGAGUGUCAUAAGUCGGAAUGAUGUGGAAAUGGCGGAAAAUGAAAGCUAGCAUCAAUGACUACAACUUUCAUGAAGAUACCAAAGUAUAAUUCGGAUUUGUCUACCCAUGCGCGUAUCAACUUACUCAUACGCGUAUCAGGUCUGAAAAAGUGUGUGUUUCUUCUCAUUCACGUAUGGCCUAGCCCCAUACACCCCCAUAUGCGUAUGAGAGCCAAGAAUUAUAAAAAAAACUAGUUUAACGUAUUUAAA
rnacentral:lncRNA from 1 species